rnacentral:rRNA from 1 species
UACAGAGGGGGCAAGCGUUGUUCGGAAUUACUGGGCGUAAAGCGCACGUAGGCGGAUUUGUAAGUCAGGGGUGAAAUCCCGGGGCUCAACCUCGGAACUGCCUUUGAUACUGCAAAUCUCGAGUCCGGAAGAGGUGAGUGGAAUUCCUAGUGUAGAGGUGAAAUUCGUAGAUAUUAGGAAGAACACCAGUGGCGAAGGCGGCUCACUGGUCCGAUACUGACGCUGAGGUGCGAAAGCGUGGGGAGCAAACAGG